rnacentral:rRNA from 1 species
UACGUAGGGGGCAAGCGUUGUCCGGAAUCAUUGGGCGUAAAGCGCGUGUAGGCGGCCAGGUAAGUCCGUUCUGAAAGCCCGGGGCUCAACCCCGGGAGGCGGAUGGAUACUGCUUGGCUCGAGUCCGGAAGAGGCGAGUGGAAUUCCCGGUGUAGCGGUGAAAUGCGCAGAUAUCGGGAGGAACACCAAUGGCGAAGGCAGCUCGCUGGGACGGUACUGACGCUGAGGCGCGAAAGCUAGGGUAGCAAACGGG